rnacentral:rRNA from 1 species
GACGGGGAGCACUACAACGGUGGAGCCUGCGGUUUAAUUGGAUUCAACGCCGGGAAACUCACCAGAUAAGACAGCUGAGUGAUAGUCGGGCUGAAGACUCUACUUGACUAGCUGAGAGGAGGUGCAUGGCCGUCGUCAGUUCGUACUGUGAAGCAUCCUGUUAAGUCAGGCAACGAGCGAGACCCACGCCAACAGUUGCCAGCUCGUCCUCCGGGAUGGUGGGGACACUGUUGGGACCGCCUCUGCUAAAGAGGAGGAAGGAAUGGGCAACGGUAGGUCAGCAUGCCCCGAAUUAUCUGGGCUACUCGCGGGCUACAAUGGGUGGGACAAUGGGUAUCGACACCGAAAGGUGAAGGCAAUCUCCUAAACCCAUCCGUAGUUCGGAUUGUGGGCUGCAACUCGCCCACAUGAAGCUGGAAUCUGUAGUAAUCGUGUCUCAAAAUGGCACGGUGAAUAUGUCCCUGCUCCUU